rnacentral:rRNA from 1 species
UACGUAGGGUGCAAGCGUUAUCCGGAAUUAUUGGGCGUAAAGAGCUCGUAGGCGGUUUGUCGCGUCUGCUGUGAAAAACUGGGGGGCUCAACCCCCCAGCCUGCAGUGGGUACGGGCAGACUAGAGUGCGGUAGGGGGAGAUUGGAAUUCCUGGUGUAGCGGUGGAAUGCGCAGAUAUCGGGAGGAACACCGGUGGCGAAGGCGGUUCUCUGGGCCUUACCUGACGCUGAAACACGAAAGCGUGGGUCGCGAAUGGG